rnacentral:rRNA from 1 species
AAUGAACGCUGGCGGCGUGGUUAAGACAUGCAAGUCGAACGGUUUUUAUUGAAACGCAAGUGGAUAUAAAAGCAGUGGCGAACGGGUGCGUAACACGUGAACAAUCUACUUCAAAUAGGGAAUAGCUCGCCGAAAGGCGAAUUAAUACCGCAUGUGGUUGCUUCUCGCAUGAGAGGCAUACCAAAGUCAGGGACCGCAAGGCCUGACGUUAGAAGAGGAGUUCGCGGCCUAUCAGCUAAGUUGGCGAGGUAACGGCUCACCAAGGCUAAGACGGGUAGCGUGGUCUGAGAGGAUGAUCAGCCACACUGGAACU